GUUCGACAUGGCGCGCCUGCGCCUGCAGGCCUCGGUCUGCCGGCCGCUGUCCAGGAACCCCGAGCCCGGGAACCUGCAGCGUAUCCACGACUCCCUGCAGCUCCGACCCAGCGAGAGUGAGUUCAGGGCGCUCUCCACUGGGUUUCCCAGGGUCCGUGAGGGAGACAGGGGCGUGGCCAGCCAGAGGAGGCGGAGCUACAGGGACCAUCCUCCCAUGUCGGGCAGCCAGAGAACUGCCCAGGACGGUUCCUGUUGACACAAAGAACCGUGACAGAUGUGUUCAUUGGCUGAACGGGGGUCGGUUUAGCUCAGGAGGUAGAGCAGGUUACCUGGACGGGAACCCCCCCCAAAACAGACUCUACCAGAGGGGGACCACGGCGGGCUCUGCCAGAGGGUCUCUGUUGGAUUCCGACAGUUCUUUCAUAGAUCCCCUGGGGGAUGCCUACCCCGUCCCCCCCACCCCGGAGCAGAGGGAGACCCCCCAGCUGUCAGCGAGGGAGAGGCGACGACUGACCAGGAAACCGCAAUCCCCCCCGCCCGCCUCCAGGGAUCCGGUUGGCCGGCCAAUCAGCUAUUCCCGCCAAUCCCAGAGCAGUGUUCAUGGGAUGGACCCGGGUGGGAGGAGGGUCCAGAACCAGACGGGGAGACCCACGCACAGUCGCCAUGACAACCAGACUGGCCGAGGUGACCGCCCCUCCCCCUCCCCCUCCUUCUCCUCUGAGGAUGAGGAGGCUGACUACGGGGAGGAGGAAGAGGGCUCCUCCCCCCCCCGCCACCCCACCUCCUCCUGGGACUCUGUGGCCACAGACCUGUGGGCCCAGCCCCAGGUGAAGGACGCGCUGCGGCGAAUCACCAACCACCGCCUGCUCAGGAGGGAGCUGCCUGCUGCACACGGCUCCGCCCACUAAGAGGAAGCCCGCCCACUAAGAGCAAGCCCCGCCCCUACCUCCACAGCCCGCAGAGUACCCCCUCCUUCCUGGUUUUAGAAGUUCUAUUUUGAAUGAAUUUAUGCAAGAAAAAGUGAUCCUUUGUUAAGAUAAGCAGACCCAUCGCCAGACGAUAAGGGUUGUCUGCUGAAUGUUUGUGUAGAUUAGAUAUUCC
ensembl:lncRNA